GUGGGUACCUCACCCUACCCCCACCCCAAGAAUAGAGAAGGGAGGGGCUAGGAAGAGUGAUCCUGCCUACUCCAGGCUUUUCUACCCUUUAGGAGCCUGACUCAGGUCCCCUAAAAUUCUCAUCCCUACCCUGAGCACCAGCUCUUGAGAUGAUGGACUUUGCUCCUGUAAGGGGAUCUGACCCUUGAGGUUCCCUGCCCUCUGCCUUGAGGACUGAAAGGAAAAGGAAUUCCAGCUUGCAGCAGGUCUCUUUUUAUGCUGUUGGCAACAAUCCCCAGGUGGGUCUUCCAUGCCUGGAGCCACACUGAUACCAUUCAGCUGGGUGUUCCAAAUUGACCAUCAGUCCACCACAGUGUCUCUACCUCUAAACACAUCUGUCUCACAGAGCUGUAAAGGUUGAACAAGGAAGUCUACCAGGAUCAAGCAGUAGGUGAAAAAUGCUGCUGGAUCACAUAAGAUGCCAAAAGAACCACGGCUAAUGGAAGCUUUCUCAAAGACCCCCCAGGACAGUGGCCUGCUCAUGUCUUCUCAUCUUGGGUGGCAUAGACUGCCUGCAGCUGAGGACCCACUGCCACAUCCUCUGCAACAGUGCCUUGUUGGCCAGUGUGUUGAUGACUGACUGAUAGGCGCUUUGUGAGCAUCCCCUGUGAGUACCCUAAGCUGUGGCGAGCAGUGUGGACUGUGAUCCCCUUGUCCUGGUGAAGAAACACACUCGGAGGCUGCACAACUUGAAGGUCAUACAACUCCAAGUGGGAGAGUGAGAGUCACCCUGCUCAGGACAUGGGUAAAGUUCAUGCAUUUUCCUUUAAUGUGGUCUUACUCUGCACAGUGAGUCACCCAGACAGGACACGGGAUCAGCAAUGAAUGGUGACUGGCUUAGGCCAUUCCCUAUGGCAAACUAACGUUUAAAGCUAUCCCCCUACUUGAAAAACCAUCAUUUCAUGAUCACGUCUCUUUCUAGUUCAUCUUUCCGCUUGUGCUUAGUGCCAAAUACCUGAACAAAACUUCCACACCCAUCAUCACACCUGCUCUCCACCCACCCACCUUCUCAACUCCCUGAUCCAUCUUUCACCCACGCCACUCCCCCCAGACAUCUCUUGUUGAAGUGUUUGCGGAUCUCCCUGCUGCUGAAUCCAAAGUCGGAUCCUCAGUUCUUGUCAUGCUCACCCUCCAGGGACCAUGUGACACCACACUCCCUCCCUCCUUGAUACCAUCAGACUUCAGGAUGCCGUCUUUUUUAUGGUACCAGG
rnacentral:lncRNA from 1 species